GAACGCGGGGGUAACGGACUUGCAGACGCGGAAUGGCACAAUCGUGAUAAGAUUGUCGAUUCCUAUUCUUCAGGGCGGAGACCGCGGGAACAUCGUCCGGAUCCUCCUCCAGGAGAUGAUACACGCGUAUCACUACCACAAGGGGAUGGUGGACCCUGCAGAUGACUACGGCGAGGAAUUCCUGCAGGAGAAGCAGCGGCUUGAGAAGCUCGCCGGUAUUGACGAGAUAUUCGUGCCGGACGCGGAAGCGCAUGUAUGGGAGUGCUCCUCAAAAGCAUGCCGGGACACUCCACCGUUUUACUACGGCAUGUACCGCACGUGGCGCGACCGUGGGCCGGACAUCGGGGGCGCCAAGAGGCAGAUUCACACGGAGGUCUGCGGUGGGACGUGGAGGAAGAUUCGAUGGCCUGUUGGGUUCAAGCCGAGAAGAGGGCGUCGGAACUGAUGCGACGGCGCAGAACCCAACGGAGAUAGGUCGAUACCCAAUUAAGCAAUUGCAGCAUGAACUCGCGGCCAAGUCAUCUUCCUACCUGUCCACGCGUGAUCCCAGUGGUGCCCUGUGCUCCCUGCAUCACCUGUCGACCUCCUUGCCCCCCACGUUGUCCACCCCGCCCGACGAAGACUGUGGUGUAUCUUCAACCGUGCCCUGCUUCACCGCCACGUUGCCCAAUGCCCUGUCCACCGAAGGUACUUAUCACGAACUCCCCGUGGGCGGCUCCGUCAAGUUCACCACCUACGCUGACCUGUCGGUAUAUCUGUACUCCAAAACAAAUUCCAUGCAUGCCAUGCCCACCACCGUGUCCCCCAGCAUGUUCUCCGUGCAGACCGAACUGUCUCCCGUGCGCAUAUUGCUAACGAUUGACAACUAAUCUCAAAAAGUUCUCGUGGUCCCAACGCAAUCCUUUCGUUCUCGAUAUAGUAUCGGCCCUGCCCAUUCAUGUGUAAGAAUUCCGUUACACGACGUGAGGUAUACUCUACCGUACUGGCAACCAACUCUUCUUCAGACUCGGCUGCACAAUGCACUUCGUACCAAUAAUGGUUACAUGCAGUUCUAGUACUGGAACUACGAUCAACGGAAAAUUACCGUUACAGAGGACCAUACUGUAUACAGAAAUGAUAAGUCAUCGCAGACGAAAUUUCUAUAUGCAAGCGACUCACGCAUCACAUUGACAAGCCUAAUUUCAUCAACACACUAUGAAUAUUUCUCCGUACACGAUUCUGGAAAAACAGUCAAUAU